AAGCAAGCUUUGAUCCGGAGAUUUCCGAAUGGGGAAACCCACUGCUCGUAAUGGAGUAGUAUCCAUACUUGAAUACAUAGAGUAUGAGAAGGCAUACCCGGGGAACUGAAACAUCUAAGUACCCGGAGGAAGAGAAAGCAAAUGCGAUUCCCUGAGUAGCGGCGAGCGAAACGGGAACAGCCCAAACCAAGAGGCUUGCCUCUUGGGGUUGUAGGACACUCUAUACGGAGUUACAAAGGAACGAUAUAAGCGAAGAGGUCUGGAAAGGCCCGCCAAAGAAGGUAACAGCCCUGUAACUGAAAUGUUGUUCUCUCCAGAGUGGAUCCUGAGUACGGCGGAACACGUGAAAUUCCGUCGGAAUCCGGGAGGACCAUCUCCCAAGGCUAAAUACUCCCUAGUGACCGAUAGUGAACCAGUACCGUGAGGGAAAGGUGAAAAGCACCCCGGAAGGGGAGUGAAAUAGAUCCUGAAACCGUGUGCCUACAAGUAGUCAGAGCCCGUUAAAGGGUGAUGGCGUGCCUUUUGUAGAAUGAACCGGCGAGUUACGAUCCCGUGCAAGGUUAAGCAGAAGAUGCGGAGCCGCAGCGAAAGCGAGUCUGAAUAGGGCGCAUGAGUACGUGGUCGUAGACCCGAAACCAGGUGAUCUACCCAUGUCCAGGGUGAAGUUCAGGUAACACUGAAUGGAGGCCCGAACCCACGCACGUUGAAAAGUGCGGGGAUGAGGUGUGGGUAGGGGUGAAAUGCCAAUCGAACCUGGAGAUAGCUGGUUCUCUCCGAAAUAGCUUUAGGGCUAGCCUCAAGGUAAGAGUCUCGGAGGUAGAGCACUGAUUGGACUAGGGGCCCCUACCGGGUUACCGAAUUCAGUCAAACUCCGAAUGCCGAUGACUUAUCCUUGGGAGUCAGACUGCGAGUGAUAAGAUCCGUAGUCGAAAGGGAAACAGCCCAGACCGCCAGCUAAGGUCCCAAAGUAUACGUUAAGUGGAAAAGGAUGUGGAGUUGCUUAGACAACCAGGAUGUUGGCUUAGAAGCAGCCACCAUUUAAAGAGUGCGUAAUAGCUCACUGGUCGAGUGACUCUGCGCCGAAAAUGUACCGGGGCUAAACGUAUCACCGAAGCUGCGGACUGUUCUAACGAACAGUGGUAGGAGAGCGUUCUAAGUGCUGUGAAGUCAGACCGGAAGGACUGGUGGAGCGCUUAGAAGUGAGAAUGCCGGUAUGAGUAGCGAAAGACGGGUGAGAAUCCCGUCCACCGAAUGCCUAAGGUUUCCUGAGGAAGGCUCGUCCGCUCAGGGUUAGUCGGGACCUAAGCCGAGGCCGAAAGGCGUAGGCGAUGGACAACAGGUUGAUAUUCCUGUACCACCUCCUCACCAUUUGAGCAAUGGGGGGACGCAGGAGGAUAGGGUAAGCGCGGUAUUGGAUAUCCGCGUCCAAGCAGUUAGGCUGGGAAAUAGGCAAAUCCGUUUCCCGUGAAGGCUGAGCUGUGAUGGCGAGCGAAAUUUAGUAGCGAAGUUCCUGAUUCCACACUGCCAAGAAAAGCCUCUAGCGAGGUGAGAGGUGCCCGUACCGCAAACCGACACAGGUAGGCGAGGAGAGAAUCCUAAGGUGAUCGAGAGAACUCUCGUUAAGGAACUCGGCAAAAUGACCCCGUAACUUCGGG
rnacentral:rRNA from 1 species